rnacentral:rRNA from 1 species
UUUAAAAGAACUUUGAAAAGAGAGUGAAAAGCGCUUGAAACCGUCACGAGGGAAGCGUAUUGCACGAGUGAUAGUGUUUGUUGUUCAGCUUGUCUUAAAGAAUUUUUUUUAAGGCUUGUGUAUUCAGUGUUCACUGCGUAAGCAUGGCUGGUUGGAGUGUGAUUUUCGCACUUUCGGCUGGUGAGGGCUCCCUGUUUAUCAGGUGAGGAUGUUUGCGACAUGUUGCGGUACGACCCGUCUUGAAACACGGACCAAGGAGUCUAGCAUGUCUGCGAGUCGAAGGAUUUUUUUUUAUACAAGUCCAUGGGCGGAGUGAAAGCAAAGUUUUUAAUUAAAACAAUUUGUGGAGGCGUUGCGUUUUUAACAAAAUGUCCUACCUUGAGCACAUAUGCUAGGACCCGAAAGAUGGUGAACUAUGCUGGAGUAGGGCAAAGCCAGAGGAAACUCUGGUGGAGGCUCGUAGCGAUGCUGACGUGCAAAUCGCUCGUCGAACUUGAGUAUAGGGGCGAAAGACUAAUCGAACCAUCUAGUAGCUGGUUCCCUCCGAAGUUUCUCUCAGGAUAGCGGGCCGUCAAUUUUUUUAUGUUUGUU